UCGAGCGAGCUUGCCUAGAUGAAUUUGGUGCUUGCACCAGAUGAAACUAGAUACAAGCGAGCGGCGGACGGGUGAGUAACACGUGGGUAACCUGCCCAAGAGACUGGGAUAACACCUGGAAACAGAUGCUAAUACCGGAUAACAACACUAGACGCAUGUCUAGAGUUUAAAAGAUGGUUCUGCUAUCACUCUUGGAUGGACCUGCGGUGCAUUAGCUAGUUGGUAAGGUAACGGCUUACCAAGGCAAUGAUGCAUAGCCGAGUUGAGAGACUGAUCGGCCACAUUGGGACUGAGACACGGCCCAAACUCCUACGGGAGGCAGCAGUAGGGAAUCUUCCACAAUGGACGCAAGUCUGAUGGAGCAACGCCGCAUGAGUGAAGAAGGGUUUCGGCUCGUAAAGCUCUGUUGGUAGUGAAGAAAGAUAGAGGUAGUAACUGGCCUUUAUUUGACGGUAAUUACUUAGAAAGUCACGGCUAACUACGUGCCAGCAGCCGCGGUAAUACGUAGGUGGCAAGCGUUGUCCGGAUUUAUUGGGCGUAAAGCGAGUGCAGGCGGUUCAAUAAGUCUGAUGUGAAAGCCUUCGGCUCAACCGGAGAAUUGCAUCAGAAACUGUUGAACUUGAGUACAGAAGAGGAGAGUGGAACUCCAUGUGUAGCGGUGGAAUGCGUAGAUAUAUGGAAGAACACCAGUGGCGAAGGCGGCUCUCUGGUCUGCAACUGACGCUGAGGCUCGAAAGCAUGGGUAGCGAACAGGAUUAGAUACCCUGGUAGUCCAUGCCGUANACGAUGAGUGCUAAGUGUUGGGAGGUUUCCGCCUCUCAGUGCUGCAGCUAACGCAUUAAGCACU
rnacentral:rRNA from 1 species